rnacentral:rRNA from 1 species
UCCGUAGGUGAACCUGCGGAAGGAUCAUUAUUGAAAUCAAUAAUACAAAAAGGCUUGAGGCUGUUGCUGGUGACAUUUUAAUUGUGACACAUGUGCACGUCUCUUGCUUAUUUGAUAACUAUUUCCACCUGUGCAUGAUGUGUAGAUGCCUAGGAUUUGAGGGAACAGAGGUUUUUUUUUAGUGGCUUUUGUUUUUAUAAAUCGAGGUGUCUAUGUUUUAUUACACUUUUAUGGUAUUGGAUGAUUUGUGAACGUGGAAUAAUAAUAAAGAAAUAAAAGUACAACUUUCAACAAUGGAUCUCUUGGCUCUCGCAUCGAUGAAGAACGCAGCGAAAUGCGAUAAGUAAUGUGAAUUGCAGAAUUCAGUGAAUCAUCGAACGUUUGAACGCAUCUUGCGCUCCUUGGUAUUCCUUGGAGCAUGCCUGUUUGAGUGUCAUUAUAUUGUCAAAAACUACUAUCUGAAGUAUGAUUUGGAAAGUAGUUUUGGAGUAUGGGAGUAUGCAGGUUCAUAUUUUAUUUGGACUAGCUCUCCUGAAAUGGAUUAGCAAAAAGCUGAUUAUGAACCUUUAUUGGUGUGAUAAAGUUGAUUGAUCACCAGGAAAUGAAAAAAGGGGAACAUUUUGGAGCAUUUUGCUGGUAAUGAGAGAAAUGAUAAAGUCGACCUCAAAUCAGGUAGGAUUACCCGCUGAACUUAAGCAUAUCAAUAAGCGGAGGA